rnacentral:rRNA from 1 species
AUACCCUAUUAUUUUUAGUGUAAAGUUUGUAAAACCAGAGUAAUAUUAGUUAAGAUCUUAAAACUUAAAGAAUUUGGCGGUAUUGUAGUCUAUUUAGAGGAAUCUGUUAUGUAAUCGAUAAUCCACGUUGAACCUUACUUAAGUUAUUUCUUGUAUAUCGCUGUUUAUGAAUAUAUUUGAUAAUAAUAUUCAAGAUAAGUAAAUAAUUAAAAUUUCAAGUCAAGGUGCAGUUUAUAUUUAAGUUAAAUAAUGGAUUACAAUAAGUUAAAUUUAAGCGGAAUAAUUUAUGAAAUAUAAUUAUGAAGAUGGA